rnacentral:miRNA from 1 species
UUUGGACCGAAGGGAGCCCCU